CGUGGGCAAAGGAGAUCCUAAGAAGAUGAGAGGCAAAAUGUCCUCAUAUGCUUUAUUUUUGCAAACCUGCUGGGAGGAACACAAGAAGAAGCACCCGGAUGCUUCUGUCAACUUCUCAGAGUUCUCCAAGAAGUGCUCAAGAGGUGGAUGGCCAUGGCUGCUAAAGAAAAGGAGAAAUUUGAAGUUAUGCGGAAGGCUGACAAGGAUCAUUAUGAAAGAGAAAUGAAAACCUACAUCCCCCCACAAAGGGGAGACCAAAAAGAAGUUCAAGGACCCCAAUACACCCAAGAGAACGCCCUCAGCUUUCUUCUUGUUCAGUUCUGAGUACUGCCCCAAAAUCAAAGGCGAGUAUAUCCUGGCUUAUCUAUUGGUAAUGUUGCAAAAAACUAGGAGAGAUGUGGCACAACACUGCAUUGUGUGACAAGCAGCCCUAUGAGAAGGCUGCCAAACUGAAGGAGAAGUACAAGAAGGAUAUUGCUGCUUACAGAGCUAAAGGAAAACCUGAUGCAGUGCAAAGGGGGGUGGUCAAGGCUGAAAAGAGCAAGAAAAGAAGGAGGAGGAAGAUGAGGAGGAGGAUGAAGAGGAAGAGGAGGAGGAAGAAUUAGAUGAAGAUGAAGAUAAUAAUGAUGAAUAA
rnacentral:lncRNA from 1 species